GACGAACGCUGGCGGCGUGCUUAACACAUGCAAGUCGAACGGACAGGCCCUGCUUUUGUGGGUUGCUCGAGAGGCGAACGGGUGAGUAACACGCGAGUAACAUGCACUUGACUGUGGGGUAAAUUCACGGGAAUGGGGAUCAUAUCGGGUAGGAGCUCCUGCUGCGUGGGGGGGGUUGGUAAGUUUCGGCGGUGGGGGAUGGACUCGCGGCUUAUGAGCUUGAUGGGGUGGUAGUGGCUUACCAGGGCUUCGAGGGGUAGCCGGCCUUGGAGAGUGACCGGCCACAAUGGUACUGCGGUACGGACCAGUCGGCAACCGUCGGCAACAGGGGGAAAUAUUGCACAGUGGGCGGAAGCCUGAUGCAGCAAUCCCGCGUGCGGGAUGACGGCCUUCGGGUGGUAAACCGCUGUCGCCUGAGACGAGGCCUGAGUGACGGUAAUGAGUAAAGAAGCACCGGCUAACUACGUG
rnacentral:rRNA from 1 species